GAGACCUCCUCCCUCAGCAGAAGACGCCUAAGGCAGGGAUACAACGAGAGUGGUCCUGGGCCCGCCUUCACCUCGACUUUCCCUAGCCAGACUCCCCUCUAGUUUCCUUGCCCUGGAUGUAUUUUGACGAAUCUGCUCUUAGGGAAGUGACUAGUUGUCCCUCUUUGGAAAAACCUUUGGAAAACCUUCGGGAAUUGCAUGUGGCGUAUUAUUCCAAUAUUUCUGCAUCUUUUUCCCGCCUUUGUCUUAGGCUGGGCACUGGGCUUGCCUCUUCCCAGAUUUUCAUUGUUGCAUUUGUAACUGCUACAAAAAUGCCAUCACUUCAUCGACAUGAAGAAGAGAAGUUCUUCUUAAAUGCCAAAGGCCAGAAGGAAACUUUACCCAGCAUAUGGGACUCACCUACCAAACAACUUUCUGUUGUUGUGCCUUCAUACAAUGAAGAAAAACGGUUGCCUGUUAUGAUGGAUGAAGCUCUGGGCUACCUAGAGAAGAGACAGAAACAAGAUCCUACGUUCACUUACGAAGUGAUAGUAGUUGAUGAUGGCAGUAAAGACCAGACUUCAAAGGUAGCUUUUAAAUAUUGCCAGAGAUAUGGAAGUGACAAAAUACGAGUGAUAACGCUGGUGAAGAAUCGUGGGAAAGGCGGAGCCAUUAGGAUGGGUGUUUUCAGUUCUCGAGGAAAAAAGAUCCUAAUGGCAGAUGCCGAUGGAGCCACAAAGUUUCCAGAUGUUGAGAAAUUAGAAAAGGGACUAAAUGAUCUACAGCCCUGGCCUGAUCAAAUGGCUAUUGCGUGUGGAUCUCGAGCUCAUUUGGAAAAAGAAUCAAUUGCUCAGAAUAAAUGCUCUUUUGGAGGUUUAAUCAGUCAACCAGUAUUUAUUGGAAGUAUUUUAUGUGGAAUGCACUGAGCAAGCUGUUGUGAGAUUCCCAAAGUAUUUUAAGAUGAGGUUUCUGCCCUACCUACUUAGAGAGCGUUCUUACUUCCGUACUCUUCUCAUGUAUGGGUUCCACUUUCUGGUGUGGUUCCUUUGUGUCAAAGGAAUCAGGGACACACAGUGUGGGUUCAAAUUAUUAACUCGAGAAGCAGCUUCCCGGACGUUUUCAUCUCUGCACAUUGAACGAUGGGCAUUUGAUGUAGAACUGCUUUAUAUAGCACAGUUCUUGAAAAUUCCAAUAGCAGAGAUUGCUGUCAACUGGACUGAAAUUGAAGGUUCUAAAUUAGUUCCAUUUUGGAGCUGGCUACAAAUGGGCAAGGACCUACUUUUUAUACGACUUCGAUAUUUGACUGGUGCCUGGAGGCUUGAACAAACUCGGAAAAUGAAUUAGGUUGUUUGCAGUCUUUGAUUGUAUUCUUUAUGCAUCAGUGUCACAUUAAAUAAAGCUAGAAUAAACCUAUUGUCAUUGCCUACCUUUCGAUAAUUAUAAAGAAUUAACUGCUGUAAGUAAAAAUUUAUAUACCUCUUUUGGACAAAAUGGGUUUUUUUAAAGGUGUUUGUAACAAAAGUCAGAUUUUCUUUUGCUUUAGCAAUUUUGCUUAUUCAGCUUAAUUAUUAUGAUUCUGAGAAAUACAACAUUUAGACAGAAGACAGAGCAAUUAUUCUUACUGUAGAGUGCCUGCAUAAUCCUCGUGAACUUAAAUAUAAACCAAAAUCACAUAAUACUUUUCAGAGAUUUAAAAAUAGAAUAUAUAAGUUUAAAUAUAUACGAAUUCAUCCAUGUUGAAGAACUCCAUAUUUCAACCUAUGAAACUCUAGAAGUUAUAUCUUAAUAGCAACACUACAGGGUCAGUAACAAAGGUGUUCGUUUCCUUACACAGUCUUAUUUAUCUCCUUCCUAAUCUUAUGUAUACUGUACUUUUAUACCUUCUGACAACCCUUCCCUCUUGAGUUCAUGUUAUUUGAAAGUUCUUUAUUAAAAAGAGAAUUAAAAGUGGCCAGAUGCAGUAGCUCACACCUGUAAUCCUAGCAC